UGGGGAAUAUUGGACAAUGGGCGCAAGCCUGAUCCAGCCAUGCCGCGUGAGUGAUGAAGGCCCUAGGGUUGUAAAGCUCUUUUGUGCGGGAAGAUAAUGACUGUACCGCAAGAAUAAGCCCCGGCUAACUUCGUGCCAGCAGCCGCGGUAAUACGAAGGGGGCUAGCGUUGCUCGGAAUCACUGGGCGUAAAGGGUGCGUAGGCGGGUCUUUAAGUCAGGGGUGAAAUCCUGGAGCUCAACUCCAGAACUGCCUUUGAUACUUUUAUUCUUGAGUUCGGGAGAGAGAGACGGAAUUCCAGGUGUAGUGGUGAAAUACGUAGAUAUCUGGAAGAACACCAGUUGCGAAGGCGGUCUCUUGGUCCGACACUGACGCUGAGGCGCGAAAGCGUGGGGAGCAAACA
rnacentral:rRNA from 1 species